rnacentral:rRNA from 1 species
AGUGAACGCUGGCGGUAGGCCUAACACAUGCAAGUCGAACGGCAGCACAGUAAGAGCUUGCUCUUACGGGUGGCGAGUGGCGGACGGGUGAGGAAUACAUCGGAAUCUACUUUUUCGUGGGGGAUAACGUAGGGAAACUUACGCUAAUACCGCAUACGACCUACGGGUGAAAGCAGGGGAUCUUCGGACCUUGCGCGAUUGAAUGAGCCGAUGUCGGAUUAGCUAGUUGGCGGGGUAAAGGCCCACCAAGGCGACGAUCCGUAGCUGGUCUGAGAGGAUGAUCAGCCACACUAGAACUGAGACACGGUCCAGAGUCCUACGGGAGGCAGCAGUGGGGAAUAUUGGACAAUGGGCGCAAGCCUGAUCCAGCCAUACCGAGUGGGUGAAGAAGGCCUUCGGGUUGUAAAGCCCUUUUGUUGGGAAAGGAAAGCAGCAGGUUAAUACCCCGCUGUUCUGACGGUACCCAAAGAAUAAGCACCGGCUAACUUCGUG